GAGGAAUAUUGGUCAAUGGGCGCGAGCCUGAACCAGCCAAGUAGCGUGAAGGAUGAAGGUCCUAUGGAUUGUAAACUUCUUUUAUAGCAGAAUAAAGUGACCCACGUGUGGGUUUUUGUAUGUAUGCUAUGAAUAAGGAUCGGCUAACUCCGUGCCAGCAGCCGCGGUAAUACGGAGGAUCCGAGCGUUAUCCGGAUUUAUUGGGUUUAAAGGGUGCGUAGGCGGAAAGAUAAGUCAGCCUGUGAAAGUUUGCGGCUCAACCGUAAAAUUGCAGUUGAUACUGUUUAUCUUGAGUGUACAUAAGGUAGGCGGAAUUCGUGGUGUAGCGGUGAAAUGCUUAGAUAUCACGAAGAACUCCGAUUGCGAAGGCAGCUUACCGGGGUACAACUGACGCUGAUGCACGAAAGUGUGGGUAUCAAACA
rnacentral:rRNA from 1 species